AGGGGCUCUCACUUGUGCCCAGGGAAAGGUCAUGGUCAAUGAGAAAGCCUUUGAUGGGGAGAGUCUGAGAUGAGACCCAGGAACAUCACCACGCAGCUGUCCAGGAAAGAUGUGGGACCCUCUGUCAGACCAGGCCAGUUCUCUUAAGCUGCAGUGAAAGACAGCGAAGGAAUUAUCUGGGAAUCACGAGGAGAAUGGAGACCACAUGGAAAGGAGUUUAAAAAUCACAUUUGGAAAAGUAGACCCUUUAUGCAAAAGAACAGCCACUGAGAGAAACAGCAACAGAGAUGGAUGGAUUAAAAACGGCAAGUUCUAUCAUCGCCACCCCCCGUCCCCCCACAUACUUUUCUCUCUUUUCAGGAUUCUGAUGGUGCGUGAUGUCUGGAGUUGCAAAAUGUGCCAGAAAGCAGAAGGAUACACCGCCAUUCAGAGAGGAUUUUCUUAGGGACUUGAAGAAAUUGACCUCGAAAUUUCAGUAAAUGAGAGGACUGUGGCUGGCCUGUAUCUUUGGCACUGGGUACAUCCUGUCAUUCUUGUUGUACCUACAUAAGAGAAUUUAACUCUGGGUUCUCCCUGACUAAUUCCAGGGGAAGUAAAUGGGUAGACCCUUAACACUUCUGUGCCAGAAGGGACCUUGGAGGGCAUCUAGUCCAACCUUGCCAGUUGAGAAGCAGGAUUACCUAGUGGUUGGGAGCACAGACUUGAAGCCACAUAGUCCCAGUUUGAAACUGACUCCAUCGCUUACUAGCAGUAUGACCUUGGACAAGUUACUAACCUCUGCCUCAGUUUCCUCAUCUGUAAGGUGGGGAUGGCAAUAAUUGUCAUUGCAUCAUAGGACUCUAGUGGGGGACAAAAUGAGUUAACACAUGUAAAGCACCAAGAAUGUGCAAAGCAUACAAUGAACCCUUGAUAAGAUAAAGAAAUGAGGCUCAGAGAGGAGGAGCAACCUCCCCAAGGUCACUCCAGGAAUUGACAAACUGAAUUGGAUUCGAUGAAAAAAGAAAAGAGGUUAUCGCUUCUUGGAAAUUUUGACUAAUAACUGUUUUCUUUGCCUGUGUUACAUCAUCUUGGCUGAACACUUGGAGAGAACCCUCAUGUGGAAGUCAGGGCAGUGCAUUCUGUUGUGGGUGUACCUCUCACUGACGGUGGCCCUAGUUUUGGGCUGGAUGGUCUCUGGGAUUCCUGUCGGUACUAACAUCUUAUAAUUCAAAAUCAGGGUCUGCACUCUCCAUUCAAGCCAAGCCUGUCUUUUCCUACAACACUCUUUGCACUGUUUGUUUCCCCCUCCACCCCAUCCCCACCAUUUUCCUCUGCCAUUUUGCCCAACUGUAUCUCACGGGCAUCAACAACCAGUUUCCCUUUGGCUUUCUGACUCUGCCCCCUCCUCAUUAUUCCCUCCCCUUCUCUCCACUGCUAGGGCAAUUAUGGUCAUCAACUGCCCCACACCUUAGCCCUGCAGUUGCCAUAUUUAAGUUGAUUGUAUAUGAUCAGUCUUGUAGGUUCUUGAAAGUUACCAUGUUGGCAGCUUGAAAGUAGGGACUUCAUUUAUGCCUUAUCAUGACCCAUUUUGAGGGCCUCAUAGAGUGCCCUUGGCAAGGUUAUCCUUUACGGUUUGUUGACUGACUCCAAAACGAUUUGAAAUAUUGGAUGAAAUCUUACAUUAUCAAGAUUCUCUCUAGUACAUUCAGUACAGCUAUCAUUGACGUCCUUUGUUUGCAAGGAAGCCAGUAUUGCCAAACUCUAAAACCCAACAAAAAGGAUAUUUUAGAACAAUUAUAAUUUCAAACUUGAAAAUGUCCUGCUGAGACACAGGAGUAUGUUAGAUACUUCUCCUGCCACCCUCCUUUCUCCUCAACCUCAUCCCGCCCCACUCUCCCUAAUAUACAGGCCCAAGUCAAAUUUUACAUUACCACCUAUUGGUGAAAUGAGCCAUUGCAGCCCAGCUCUACAAGACAUUGUAAAUGCCUGGGUAACAGUGAGUGGUGUAGACCCUUUUAUGGUUCAUAAGCAUAUUGAUUACAUUUUCAUGCUAUUGUGUGAGAUGAACCUCCCUCAAACCUUGUUAUGAUGUCAGCACAUUAUCCAUCUGAUGUGAAAAAAAAAUGGUGAGUGGAGAUUGAAAUGCUGGGAGCUGAGAAGGUAGAGUCAGGUAUGGCCCAGAGAAAUAUAUUUUGGAUUAGGCAGAUCCCAAGGAAAUAGUGAGGGCUAAUAACAGAGGAAGUCCUAGAGUACAAAAGAAAUGACUAAGCACUUUAGGGGCUGCAGAGGAAAAGUAAACAGCUAUUUGGGGACACCAACUUCUCCACUGUAUACUAACACUAGUGUAAAUAUAGCAAGGCCCAGUGUAUAUAUAACAAUGCAGAUAUAGCUGGCUGACCACCAAUGUAAUCCUGCCUUUCCCAAAUCUUUUUUCCUAAAGUUGUUGGAGAGCAAUUAAAAAUUCUACAUUGAAGACUAAGGGAAAAAGAUGUUUCAUUAUAGAGCUGGGACUGAUUGCAUUUUCAAAAGGUGGCUGCAACAAUAUCCCACACACUUUUCUGCUGUAUAAUCUGUCACUCCUCCAUCGAGUACAGGAGACCAUUUCUCCAUUCCUUUGAAUCUGAGUGAGUUCUGUGACUGUUUUGACUGCUAGAAUGAUGUGGAAGAGAGAUUUUGUGAUUUGAAAGGCGAGGUCACAGAAAGCCUUGCAACUUCCACCUGACCUGUCAAGAAUGCUUGCUCUUGGGAUACUCCCUCUUGGAACCCAGCCACUAUGCUGUAAGAAGCCCAGUCUACAUGCAGACACCACAUAUAAGGCAUCGUAGUCAACAGCCACAGUCAAGUUCCCAGCUGGCAGCCAACUUUAACCACCAGUCUUGUGAGUGAGCCAUCUUGGACAUCCAGUUUGGUUAAACCUUCAGAUGACUCCAGCCCCAGCUGACACCUGACUGCAACCACAUGAGAAACCAGGAAUGAAAAUCCCCUAGCUGAGCCCAGUCAACUCAUAGAACUGUGAGAGAUAAUAAUAAGUUGUGGUACUAAGCCACUAGGAUUGGGGCACCAUGCAAUAAUAGGUAACCAAGACAGCAGCAACUUUGGUUAGACACAUGAGCCAUGGGAUGACACAUAAUUAGGUAUAUUUUUAAAAACUUGGAUUCAGCUUUAGGUCUAUGCAUCCCCAACAUAGAGAGGCACUAUUUCAGUUCACAUCUGCUGCCUCUGAUCAAAGCACUAUCUUGCACUUCCAGAGAGAGAGACAGUGCAAGUGUGUCUAUUUACUGACAGGCGUCCCCUUGUGUCCCCAUCUGUGUAACUGGAGCUCAGUGUCUCUCACACAUUCUAGUAUGAUACUUGGUGCCAUAUUUGCAGGUCCUGAGGUAAGAACCCAUGCUGUUGUCUUUAGAGAGUUUCAUGGGUUGGACUGUGCCACAUAGGGGCAAAAAUCCACCCACACCUUUUCUUUUAAUCACCUUUAUGGAUGUAUAAUUUACAUAUAUACGUUUUUCUUAUUACUUUUUAUUUAUGUAAUUUAUUUAUUUAUUUUUUGAGACAAGGUCUCACUAUCUUGCCCAGGCUGGAGUGUAGUGGAGUGAUCAUGGCUCACUGCAGUCUUGACCUCCUGGGCUUAAGCAAUCCUCCCACUUCAGCCACCUGAGUAGCUGGGACCACAGGCACACGCCACCACUCUUGGCUAAUUUAAAACUUUUUUUUUUUUUUUUUUUUUUUUUUUGUGGAGACAGGGUCUCACUGUAUUGCCGAGGCUGGUCUCAAACUCCUGGGCUCAAGCGAUCCUAGUGCCUCUCACUUCCAAAGUUCCUGGAUUACAAGCAUGAGCCACCAUGUCUGGCAUCCUUUGUGGAUGUAUAAUUUACAUACAUACAAUAAUAUGUACCUAUUUUAAGUAUACAGUUUGAUGAGCUUUGACAAAUGUAGCCCGUGAAACCACCGCCAUAAUCAAAGUAUAGAACAUUUUUUUUUUUUUUUGAGACGAAAUCUCACUCUUGUCGCCCAAGCUGGAGUGCGAUGACGUGAUCCCGGCUCACUGCAACUUCCGCCUCCCAGGUUCAAGCGAUUCUCCUGCCUCAGCCUCCUGAGUAGCUGGGAUUACAGAUGCCUGCCACCACACCCAGCUAAUUUUUGUAUUUUUAGUAAAGACGGGGGUUUCACUAUGUUUGCCAGGCUGGUCUCGAACUCCUGAACUCAGGCAAUCCCCCCCCCUCCUUGGCCUCCCAAAGUGCUUGGAUUACAGGCAUAAGCCACCGUGCCUGGCCUAUAGAACAUUUUAAUCACCCCAGAGAUGUGCCCCCUGUGCAGCCAGUUCCCUCCUCAUCCUCCAGCCCCUGGCGAGCACUGAUUUGCUUUGCCACUAUCAAUCAAUUUUUGUCUUUUCUGGUAUUUCAUAUGAAUGGAAUAAUAGAGGAUAGACUUUUAUGUGACUACACACUAUUUAGCAUAAUAUUUUGAGGUUCAUCCAUGUUGUUGUGUAUGUCUAUAGUUAAUUUCCUUUUCUCACCGAAUUGUAUACCACUGUAUGAUAUAUCACAAUUUGUCUAUUCAUUCUCCUGUUGCUGGACAUUUUGAUUGUUUAUUGUUUGGGGCUACUAUGAAUAAAACUGUUAUGGACGUUUAUGUACAA